GACGAACGCUGGCGGCGUGCUUAACACAUGCAAGUCGAACGGAAAGGCCCUGCUUUUGUGGGGUGCUCGAGUGGCGAACGGGUGAGUAACAAGUGAGUAACCUGCCCUUGACUUUGGGAUAACUUCAGGAAACUGGGGCUAAUACCGGAUAGGAGCUCCUGCUGCAUGGUGGGGGUUGGAAAGUUUCGGCGGUUGGGGCUGGACUCGCGGCUUAUCAGCUUGUUGGUGGGGUAGUGGCUUACCAAGGCUUUGACGGGUAGCCGGCCUGAGAGGGUGACCGGCCACAUUGGGACUGAGAUACGGACCAGACUCCUACGGGAGGCAGCAGUGGGGAAUAUUGCACAAUGGGCGGACGCCUGAUGCAGCAACGCCGCGUGCGGGAUGUCGGCCUUCGGGUUGUAAACCGCUUUCGCCUGUGACGAAGCGUGAGUGACGGUAAUGGGUAAAGAAGCACCGGCUAACUACGUG
rnacentral:rRNA from 1 species